rnacentral:rRNA from 1 species
AUGACACAACCCAAGGGAAUGGGAGGUCUGGGUUUCAAAGAUUUCGAACUCUUCAACUUGUCCAUGCUCGCCAAGCAGGCGUGGCGCUUGCUGCAAGACCCAGAGUCGCUGAGUGCCCGAGUGUUGAAAAGUGUAUACUACCCGUCAUCUGAUAUACUCCAGGCUGAAUUGGGAGGCCAUACGAGCCAGGUAUGGCGGGCCAUUAUAGAGGGAAGGGAUGUCCUGAAGCAAGGUUUGAUAAAGGGAAUUGGGAAUGGAGCAGAUACAAACAUAUGGACCGAGAACUGGUUACCCAGAGAGGAAAUGAUUCGUCCCUACGGGAGUAUCUCGCCAAACCCACCAACACAUGUGUCGGAGCUCAUAACUACUGUGACCGCUUCGUGGAAUAGACAGCUUGUCCAACAAACGUUUAUGCCCAUCGAUGCUACAGUUAUACUUGGUAUGCCGAUAUGCACUCAAAACAUCACAUAUUUUUGGGCAUGGUUUCAUGAGAAAAAUGGUACUUUCACUGUUAAAUCAGCAUAUAAGAUGCUAGUAGCUACCAGAAACAGGAGAGAAGCGUGGUUGUAA